rnacentral:lncRNA from 1 species
CGUGGAUCAACUCGCCAGCCAAUAGGAAAACAGCUUCUUGGGCUAGAUAUCCGCGACGCGCCCCAACUUCUCAUCUCAGCCAGUUGGCUCUCGCACUGAGAAAACACAAUUGGAGAAGAUCUCAACCGUCCAUCGAUUAAUAUGGUCCACCUGUGCCGGUGGAUCGUUCAGGAGAGGCCUAUAAAUAAGGCUCUAAUAGCUUACGGGUAUUAGUUUGGUUCUCUCGUCAACGGGAUUGGGGCUUUCAGGUUGCAAGCUUUUUCGAGAGGGACUGGGCGAGAGAGGUAAGAGCUCUAAGCGCUCGUCUUCUGUCUUUUUUUUUUUUUAUUUGAAGGUUCGAAGAUUUUUUUGGGUUCAACUAAGUUGUUGUUUUGUCAAUGUAAACCUUGGGUUAGUAUUCUAUAUAUAUAUAUUUUUAAUAAAAAUUGUGAUUUUAUGUUGUGGGAUUGGAGUCGCUGGGCUUGUUUCAGGAUUGAUGCUGCGAGAGAAUUUGGGGAUGUCGUUUUAUUCGUGGAAAGGUCGUUCUUUUCUUCUUCGUUUUUCAUGGUUUAAGGUUUCCUUUCAUUGAUUUGGGGUGAUUGUUGAUGUGGUGCGGAAAAUUGGGAGCUUUUUGUGGUGUCUUGCGGUGGAUUUGAUUGCAAUCUUCGUUUUUUGGCCCUUGUUUUUCUGAUGAUUCUGGAGUGGCUAUUGUUUUUAUCUAUUGUUGUUUCUGAAGGUUGCUCUGCGUUGUUUGAAUUAGACAGUUUUGGAAUAAAUUUUUUGUCAGAAUUGCUAUAUUGUGAAUUGGGGCUUGCUUGCAUACAUUAUAAAAUUUUGACGCUCUUGUGAUUCUGUGUGUUUUUAGGAGCCAAGGUUUUAUACUUUCGAGUGUGUUUAGAAAAUUAAAAACUAGAAAGCAAAUUACCGUACUUGAUUAAGGGAUUUCCUUUAGUUGAACUCUUGAAGCCGCUGAGCCUCCUAAUCUAUUUACCUAACUUUAGCGACUAAUUAUUAUUCUAUAUUAUUCUGUAAAUGAAGUUAUAGUAAAUCGAUUGUUGUAGUAAUUAUGCUUGGUGGUGGUUGGUGUAAUCCUACGAAACUUGGCACAGAACCAUGAUGACUUAUGGAACUAUACUGAUUUGUUCCUAAGAUUAAUUUAC